GAGUUUGAUCAUGGCUCAGGAUGAACGCUAGCGGCAGGCCUAAUACAUGCAAGUCGAACGGUAAAUAUUGUAGCAAUACAAUAUGAGAGUGACGUACGGGUGCGUAACACGUAUGCAACCUACCCUUUACAGGUGGAUAGCUCGGGGAAACCCGAAUUAACCCAUCGUAGUAUCAUUGAAUGGCAUCAUUUGAUGAUUAAAACUCAGGUGGUAAAGGAUGGGCAUGCGUCUGAUUAGUUAGUUGGCGGUGUAACGGACCACCAAGACGAUGAUCAGUAGGGGAACUGAGAGGUUGAUCCCCCACACUGGCACUGAGAUACGGGCCAGACUCCUACGGGAGGCAGCAGUAGGGAAUAUUGGUCAAUGGAUGCAAGUCUGAACCAGCCAUGCCGCGUGCAGGAAGAAGGCCUUAUGGGUUGUAAACUGCUUUUGUCAGGGGAUAAAAUGGGAGUGCGCUCCUAAUUGAAGGUACCUGGGCGAAUAAGCCACGGCUAACUACGU
rnacentral:rRNA from 1 species